GACGAACGCUGGCGGCGUGCCUAACACAUGCAAGUCGAACGGGGUGAUUUCCUUCGGGAGAUCGCUUAGUGGCGAACGGGUGAGUAACGCGUGAGAAACCUGCCUUUCAGUGGGGGACAACAGUUGGAAACGACUGCUAAUACCGCAUAAUGUAUUUUGGGGGCAUCCCCGAAAUACCAAAGCUUUAUGUGCUGAAAGAUGGUCUCGCGUCUGAUUAGCUAGAUGGCGGGGUAACGGCCCACCAUGGCGACGAUCAGUAGCCGGUCUGAGAGGAUGAACGGCCACAUUGGGACUGAGAUACGGCCCAGACUCCUACGGGAGGCAGCAGUGGGGAAUAUUGGGCAAUGGGGGAAACCCUGACCCAGCAACGCCGCGUGAAGGAAGAAGGCCUUCGGGUUGUAAACUUCUUUUAGCAGGGACGAAUACGUGACGGUACCUGCAGAAAAAGCAACGGCUAACUACGUGCCAGCCGCCGCCGUAAUAC
rnacentral:rRNA from 1 species